UUGUGAUCAGCUUUAAUUUACUGUACUGUGGCAGCACAGCAUUGCACCCUCUGCUCUGCAUAACCAGAGCCUCAUGCAUUUGAGUUGCUCAUUAUUACCUUCAGCCUCACCUCCAGCAGGACACUAGCUGCUGAAUCUCCGGGGCUGUUUUGCAGUGAUAGGUCCCUGUGGGCUCUCAUUUCAAGCAGAAGAGCCACAAAUCUCUGCAGUUUGCUGCAUUUACCUUAAGGCACACCCCGCAGCCCGAGGUGCCACCAACCCAAGCCUCUUGUUUCAGCAAGCAGCAGAGGGGUGCUCGGACAGCAGGGAACAGAGCUCAGUUUUCCUGUAGCUGUGAUUGUUCCUUCUCUGAUUGUUAGCCUGUAAUAAGAAUGAAAGAGGCAGACAGCAGAGCUCUGCUGCAAGGGGGGGAAUAAGAGGAAAGCAGGGCUCCUUUGGAACAGAGGGAUUAUUUCCCAUGCCGUGUACACCUGUUAAGACACCAGCUUCGAGUCUGAGCACCAAAUUGGACAGAGACAGUUGUCUGAGAUGUUAAGGAAUUCAGCAAGCAGGGGAAGCACACAGUGAAUCCAGCUUCAGCGUCCUUCCCCAGGGGAACAGCUUUCUCCUUUGUGACCAGGACUGGCACAGGCAGCUUCCUCCCUCAGCCCUGGUUUUCUUGGCACGUUGUUUAUUUUGUUGUGUAAUUUCUCUCCCGAUGGAUCCAACCCCUGACUUGUUUCAAAAGUAUUUGGCAACCUCUUUCUCACCACCAUUUUUGUUGCCUCUGUGUUCUGGGGCUGCUCAUGGGGUGAUGCAUUGCUGCUGGGUGACAUUUGCAGACACAUUUCUGACAGGAACAGAGAGCCACAAUGAUUUCCUGAGUCAAUCUGCUACAGAAUUAAGAAAAUAAGCUGAGGCAUCCAAGCCUGGCAGAGAGAGCUGUGGCAGCAAGCUGAGGGCUGAAAGCUGCCUUGGAUAAAAGUCCUGACUGCAUGCUACCGCCUUCUUCCAGGAACUGCAAGCGUCAAGACAGGCAGUAUGCAAGCCAACAAGAAGCUGAUGCAUGAGAGCAGUUCCAUGUCCAUGCUCAUCCAUAACCGUUGCUUCAUGAGUUUGAAUGUCUGUUGAGGUACAACACUUUUUCUCUGGAAACAGAAUGUGAGGUUGGAACCAAAACCAGCAAGAGCAGCAAAUCACACUGAAGUAAUGGGACGGCUGUUUAAGGACACAAACUACAUUUGUGCUUUGGCUGCAGAUCAGUUUGUGGGUAGAAGCUCUUUUUGUGUCCAGAUGAGUCUUCCACGUCUAGCUCACUGCUCGCCUUGCUACUUCCUCUAAGACCUGCUAAUUCAGCUACAUCUUCUGUACCGUAUUUCAGUCUCCCUGUCAUUACUGCCUCUGCAGUUUGUCACUUUCAGCCCAUUGCUCUCCACUCCCAUUCUAACUGUGAGACUUCUCAGAACG
rnacentral:lncRNA from 1 species